rnacentral:lncRNA from 1 species
UACUCUCUUUACUGUGAUGUUGAUUUCCAUCAGAAUUGGAAAGAACCCUAGCAGCCAUUUGAUCCAUACAUGCUGGAUCAAGAAUUCAUUCUACAAUGCCAUCAUCAAGUGGUUACAAGCUUUAGCUGUAAAAUUAUAGUGAGGGGGAACCAAGUACUUCUGAAGAUAACGCAUUUGACUUCUUUUUGGCUCUAAUUGCUAUGAAGUUUUUUCCCCCCACUCUGAAUUACCUCUUUGCUACUUUUAAUUACUUUUAGUCCUCUUGGAUAUUAAGCAGAACAACUUUAACCCUUUUUCUAUGUGACAUUGCUACAAAUAUGACUAUUCUACCAUUACAUCUCCUUUUGCCUAGGCUAUGUCUCCAUUUUUUUCAACAGAUCACCAUAAAAUAUUGUUUCCAGUCCUCUCACCAUCUUCCUUACUGUCUUCUAGACACCUUUCAGCUUCUCCAGUGACAUUCCCUAAAAGUGAUGCUCAGUGCUCUCUAUGUGAACCAAUCAGGCACAGUACAGCAGAAUUCAUUUCUCUUAGUAUUAUGUGUUAUGAUACACCAUAGACAAAUAAAAGAAAGAAACAGGAUGAGACUUGAAACAUGCCUGUAUUUAAUAAACUUCAAGGUCAAAUGAAUCAAAAGUAUUACAAGGCUACAAAAGAGCAAAUAUUCGUCUAUGGUGUAUCUUCUUCUAUCCAAAUCAUUUAUUUAAAAUUAAUUUAAUGAUCUUUUGAACCAUUCUGGAGGUUUUUACAUACUUUAUUGUCACUUCAUGGCAAUGUUAGUUGAUUUGAGAGGGCAUUCAUAAAAUUUAUUCUAUAUGAUGCUUUCUUUUUCUUCAGGGAUUUUCAAGUUAAUUUCCUUUACUUCAUAAUAUCAUUCAUUGUAUUCCCUGACCUCUUUUUAUCAACUUUGUACUUAUUUCUGCUUUCUCAGUUUUUCUAGUUUUUUUCUAGCUAUAAUUAACCUUUUCAGAGGAAGUUCUUUCCCUUUCUUACUAGACAGUUUGAUGCAGGUCAGCACCGUUGAGCUUACUCCCAUUCAUGACCCUUCAUUUUCUCCCAUCCAGACCUCCAGUGUUGGGUAAUGGAGAACUAGCUAAAAAAAUCAGUCAUUAUGAGCCUGAACAGCAUGUUUUGGUAUGAUACAAGCCCUCAUGUAUGAGAGGCUGAGGAACUUGUCUCCAAGAGAGUUGUGAUAAUAUAUAAUAGAAAUGCCCUGAUGAAACUUUGGAACAGGCAUAGAUAUUUUAUAAUUUCGUUGUGUCUGCUAAUCACUUGAUGAAUGGCACCUUCUUUCUUUAAUUGGCUACAGUCAUGGAACUAAACCUGGAAAAUCCUUCAAAGGGCCUUGGUUAUAUUCUAUCUUUGCCUCUUGGAUGGACUUCUGCCCUUGGUUUCACUCCUUUAGCAGUGGUGAGAAAGAAUGCAAUAAGUGAUGAGGUCUUGGUUCUUCUUUCUCCAAGGCCAAAAUGUGGCCCUGUGAGUAUAAUCUUGGUUCUUUGUCUGCCUCAAUAUUUUUUGGAAGACAUUAGAGACUGUGAACUUGUACAUUUUGAAAAGUCAGGAGGAUGAGCCACUUGAUGUUCUGAGAAGCAUACAUGCUAGGUUUAAAAAAAUUUUUUUUAAAUUUAUUUUAACAUAAAUUGCUUUAUGAAUCAUUUUGGGAGAAAAAAAUAAGAGCAAAAGGGAAAAACCAUGGCAGAGAUUUAAAAAAAAAAAAACAGAAAAAAGAAAUGAACAUAGCAUGUGUUGAUUUACAUUCAGUUUCCUUAGAUCUUUUUCUGGAUGCAGAUGGCAUUUUCUGUCCAAAGUCUAUUAGGAUUGCUUUGGAUCACUGAGUCACUGAGAAGAACCAAGUCUUUCAUCACACAUUCUUGCUGUUAUUGUGUAUAACGUAUUCCUGAUUCUUCUUGUUUCGCUCAGCAUCAGUUCAUGUAAAUCUUUCCAGGCCUUUCUAAAAUCAGCUUGCUCAUUUUUUAUAGAACAAUAAUAUUCCAUUAUCUUCUUAUACCCCAACUUGUUCAGCCAUCCCCCAAUUGAUGGGCAUCUAUUCAGUUUUCAAUUUUUUGCUACCACAAAAAGAGCUCCUGAUAGGUUUUUGCAGCUACUCCAUCAACAGUUUCUUGAAGAUACUAGCAACAGGGCUCCUUUAGUUCCUACCCACUGUGUUAGCUGAGACAAGGACUCAUCUGGCAGCAAUGAAUCUGAACUUGGUGGGUCUCCUGCUACAUAGAAUAGAUGUGAAUUUUGAACCCACUAUCCCGACCAAAAUAAUAAAAAGGAGAGUAUACCUCCUGAGAUACUGGAAGAAAAUGCUUGUACUUCUGUUCCAGUUACAUCUUUGAAGUAAAGACUUUUAUAAAAUAGGUUAAAUGGGGGUAAUAGUAAUGUUUAUGGCAUUAAAUAAGAGACAUCAUAACUCUUCAGGGGUACCCUUUUAAACCUGAAUGAGGCACCUAGUAACAUGAUUCUGGGUUAGUCAGAUUAGAGACAUCCUGAAGGCAACUGUAAAAAGCAUCUGUGGUUGGAGUUGUACUGUGCCUUUCAAUGGACAUUUCUGAUAGAAGUCUUUUUUACCUUGGUCCCAGGUGACACAAUACACAAAGCACUUGUCUUGGAGUCAUAAGACUCAUGAUUGAAUACUCUCUUAGUCACGGACUAGCUAUGAGAUUCUGGGCAAGUCACUUCUUUUAUCAUCAGUUUUCAAAAGCUGUAAAAUAGCAGUUGCCUGCUAUUUCUUUUGUAUCAAAUAACUAUAUUGGUUAUUAUUAAUAAAUCUUAACACAUUAUCUAAAAUGAGCUAUUCUUAUUGUUGUUGCACUGAAUGGUGUGUUAUUGGUUCCUUCUCUAAUCCACAGUCACCUGCUUUUCUUCUGGUUCACUGAAGUUAGUUGAAUUCAAGGAUUUCUAGCUGUUAGUUUUGGAAGUAAAACAGAGUCAGAAGGAAUCCUCUUUAGUGGUGAUUUCAAGAAGUAAUUUAAAAUGGCAUUCCAAUGGUGGUGCAACAAAGAUAAUAGUAAGUGACAAAGGUAAUAGUAAGCAUGGCAAAGUAUAGGGAGCUGAUAAGGUAUCAGUAGUGUUUUUUCUUUAGGAUUUGCCCUGUGGCAAAUUAUCACCUUUCUUCUUAAUCAUGUUUAUAUUGUUUUAUCUAGUUAAUGUUUAGACGCUAUUUUAUUGAGCCCUUCUAGUGGUUUUGUGGUGGUGAGUAGAAACUGAGUUUAGGCACAAACUCUCAAUGUCCAAUUCAUCAGAUUUUAAGGACUUCAGUGGUAAUUUGGUCCUACUCUCUUCCCCUCAUUUUACAAUUGUGUAAAAAGAGGCUCAUGAGUUGUUAGAAGUCCCAGAGCAUUUUCUAUUAAUUAACUCUUUAAAAAUGGGUCAUCCAUGAAGUUAAUACACAGUCAUUUGGUGGUAUGAAAAGUAGAACACCACCCAACCUAUCUUCUCCACCUCUUGGCCCUUACCUCUGAAUUUGGAGAAAAUUUGGAGAAGAAUUGUAUGUGGGGAUGGGGAUGAGGAAGUUUGGGAACAGUUGGGGAGGAUUUCAGAUAGCAGCAUGAUAUCAUGGAUAAGCCAUUGGGUUUGUGGUGAGGAACACCUGGUUUUAUGCACUGUUCUAGAUAUUUACUAGUUCUGUGACCUUGGAUUAAACACUUAAUCUCCUUGUGCCUCAGUGACUUGUCUUGUAAAAUAAUGAGGUUGGACUUGAGGAGCUCUGGGUCCUUGUAGAUCUAAAUCUAUGAUCUAAUGAUUUGUUCAUUUCUUAAGAUGUAUGAUUAAACAAAUCACUUCAACUUUGACUCUCGUUGGUUUCUUGAUCUAUAAAAUGGGGGAAUAAUAUUUAUAUCUCUUACAUUCUAUAGGACUGCUGUUUUCCCCUGAGGCAACUCAGGUUAGUUAAGUGACUUGCCCAAGGUCACACAGCUAGGAAGUGUUAAAUGUCUGAAGCCAGGUUUGAAUUCAGGUCCUCCUGACUUCAGGGCUGAUGCUCUAUCCACUGUACCAUCUAGCUGCCCUUUUUUUUAAUAAACCUUAUAGCACCAUAGAAAUGGGGUGAAAUGGUUACUGUAAGGGAAAGGCUCAAUUAAAUCACUUACCUGAAACCUAUAAAUUAUAACUUAAAAAAUUUAAACUUGUCUUAACCAAUUAAUCAAUCUUGAGUCCUUGAGCAGGACUCAUAUUCUGGAAUGGUAUUGCACAGAAGUAUUCAAAUUUGGCCAAGGAAACCAGAUUAUGCCCUAAAUAAAAUAUCAACUCAUUUUGGAAGUGAGAGAUUGUUCCAGCUAAACCCUUAUGAAGCAAUCAAUGGGGGAGGGUGUGGGGAAAAGGAGGAAAAGAGACUUGACAUUUUCUAUCUUCUCACUACUAUCCUAGCACUGUCUCAGGAUCAGUGUCUGCAUCAGGAUCCAAGGAAGCCUGGAUGAAGAUUCAGGGCUACACAAAGAGCCCAGCAGAAAAACUAUACCAUACCUAAAGGGAACACAUAUAAGGACUUUGAGGAAUGGUUACCUUUUCCCCACAUGUGCUUCUAAAACUGGAGCUCACAUUCCCUCAGACUCUGUAUGCACCAAUGGGAGAGUGCACCACAGACUCUUGGGGGUUCGUUUUGUUCUAACUUUUUUAAUACUACUUUUCUAACAACUAAUUUGAGUCUGUCUGCACAUAUCAACUAAUAACCAUGAAAGGAAGCACACUAGUGGGGACUGGAGCUAUAGCAUUAGAAAGCCAUCCUUCUCAGUCAACUCUAGAGCUUUGAAGCAAUGUAAAUAACCAUAUUUUGGGGACCCAAAUAGUGAGAGUGGGAGUUGGGAAAAUAAUAUGAACUAUAUUAUUAUUAAACAACUGACAACUAGAGUGUCUUCCCAAGCCUUCUCUUCUUCAGUCUAACCUUUGCUAGUUCUUCUUGCUGUUGUGAUCUUGGACAUCAUAUUAAUUUUCCAGGCCAAUUUUACCUCAUAUAAAUAAUGAAGGGCCUAGCGUAGCCAAUUUCUCUCCCUUUACCCUGAACCCUUCUUUUCUAUCUAUUCUCUUCUUACUUUUGGCUAUUUUCUUCUUGGGGAUAUUCAGCCCUCAGAAUAUCUGCAGAUAACCUUGUAGGUAAUUUCCGUUGCUAAUGCACUGCUACUUCUGUGGAACAACUUGACAACUUAACUUUGUACUCCAUUGUUUCUAUGAAAAAAUGUGUUCUAUAUGCCUAACCACCA